rnacentral:rRNA from 1 species
AUUGAACGCUGGCGGCAGGCCUAACACAUGCAAGUCGAACUGUAACAGGAAGAAGCUUGCUUCUUUGCUGACGAGUGGCGGACGGGUGAGUAAUGUCUGGGAAACUGCCUGAUGGAGGGGGAUAACUACUGGAAACGGUAGCUAAUACCGCAUAACGUCGCAAGACCAAAGAGGGGGACCUUCGGGCCUCUUGCCAUCGGAUGUGCCCAGAUGGGAUUAGCUAGUAGGUGGGGUAACGGCUCACCUAGGCGACGAUCCCUAGCUGGUCUGAGAGGAUGACCAGCCACACUGGAACUGAGACACGGUCCAGACUCCUACGGGAGGCAGCAGUGGGGAAUAUUGCACAAUGGGCGCAAGCCUGAUGCAGCCAUGCCGCGUGUAUGAAGAAGGCCUUCGGGUUGUAAAGUACUUUUAGCGGGGAGGAAGGGAGUAAAGUUAAUACCUUUGCUCAUUGACGUUACCCGCAGAAGAAGCACCGGCUAACUCCGUG